UUUAAAAUGGGUCAAAAAUCAAAAUUUCCAAAAAUGGUGCAUUGAAGCUUGGUUGUGAUUUUUGAAUCCUAAUGCCUAACACACAGUAACACCCCUCUUGGCCUCUCCUCUCCAGCAUGCAGAAGCAGAACGCAGAGGCAGAAUGCGAAGUAGCAGUGCAGCACUUGGAGCUUUCGGCACAACUUUCGUCAGCCACCGCCGCCGUCGCACAGUCCGUGGAGCUAACGUCAGCCACCUUUAUUCGCGGCUUUGCGCAGCCACUUUUCGUCUCGCAUGCAGUGAGCUCAAAAAUCAGAACUACCGCCAAGGCCGCUUUCCGUUGCGCAGUGUCUUCCCGCUGGUGCCAGGUCUGUUCCACCCUUCCACCCCAUCAGCCACUGUCUUGCCUCUUGUCAGCCACUGUUCCCGCCAGCUCUACAUUUUUUCAGUCUUCCAGCUUCUAACCCUAGCCAUAAGCCUCAGGGUCCUCAGCCCCACAACAGUCAUAGAAUUUGGCAGCAUAUGGUGGAUCAUUCGGUACCAAUUCAUAGUACCUUCAUAAGGUAUUACUGGAGAGUGUUACAAAUUAUGUUACUAAAAGACUUUGUCUCUUCUAUCGUUUGAUUAUGUUGUUGCUCUCUGCUGAUAGUAUUUUUAGUUUCUAUAAAUAAAUAAGUUUUGUGUUGAACUGCACAUAUAUGAUUCAAUGUGUCUUGUUGGAACCAGAAUGUUGUUGCUAGAAUGAUAUGCAAUGUCUUUAGUUUAUUAUUAUAAAGUGACUACUAUUCACAUGAAU